UAAUUAAUUAUUAUAUACCUAUAUAAUACGCUAUCAGGAAAAAAAAAUAUAUAUAAAUCACAACUCUGGUUUAUGAAAAUUUAGUAUAGUAAUAGUAGGAUAACUAGUUAUUAGGUCUAUGGUAGGUACUCAAUUGAAUUUAUUCAUGUCUGAAAUGAAUAAGUUUUGUUAGUUUUGUCCUGGUACAAUUUUCCUUUAUAUCAUCUUUAAUCUUUCUAA